AUUGAACGCUGGCGGCAGGCCUAACACAUGCAAGUCGAGCGGAGCGGCGGACGGGUGAGUAAUGCCUAGGAAUCUGCCUGGUAGUGGGGGAUAACGUCUGGAAACGGGCGCUAAUACCGCAUACUCUCAGAUGAGCCUACGUCGGAUUAGCUAGUUGGUUGGGUAAAGGCCUACCAAGGCGACGAUCCGUACCUGGUCUGAGAGGAUGAUCAGUCACACUGUAACUGAGACACGGUCCAGACGCCGACGGGAGGCAGCAGUGGGGAAUAUUGGACAAUGGUCGAAAGCCUGAUACAGCCAUGCCGCGUGUGUGAAGAAGGUCUUCGGAUUGUAAAGCACUUUAAGUUAGGAGGCGUUACCAACAGAAUAAGCACCGGCUAACUUCGUGCCAGCGGCCGCGGUAAUAC
rnacentral:rRNA from 1 species